CAGCGCUGUCAGCGGCGGCCGCCCCCUCCCCGGACAUGAAGCCGAGCCCCGCGGGCGCCGCGCCGGCGGCGGGGCCGGCACCGGGAGCGGCACCGGGAGCGGCACUGGGGGGACCCGCGGGGGCACCGCGGGAGCCCGAUGCGCGCUGGAGGGAGAAGGGCGAAGCGGAGGCGGAGCGGCAGCGCACCCGGGAGCGGCUGGAGGCCACGCUGGCCGGGCUGGGCGAGCUGGAGUACCUGCGGCAGCGCCAGGAGCUGCUGGUGAAGAGCCUCCUGCUGCGGCGGCCGGCGGGAGCGGCGCCCGGGGCGCAGGGCGGCCGCGGGGACGCGCCGGGAGAGGGGCCGCCGCCGCGCAGCCUGGAGGAGAAGUUCCUGGAGGAGAACAUCCUCCUCCUGCGGAGGCAGCUGAACUGCUUGAGGAGGAGGGAUGCUGGCUUAUUAAAUCAGUUGCAAGAGCUGGAUAAGCAAAUAAGUGACCUCCGCCUGGACGUGGAAAAAACAACAGAUGAACACCUUGAGACAGACAGUCGUCCAAGUUCAGGGUUUUAUGAGCUGAGUGAUGGAGCCUCUGGAUCGCUUUCCAAUUCAUCUAACUCUGUCUUCAGUGAGUGUUUAUCCAGUUGCCAUUCUAGCACUUGCUUUUGCAGCCCUUUGGAGGCAACACUGAAUAUCUCAGAUGGACGCCCUAAAUCUGCAGAUCUCAUAGGCUGGAUGGACUAUAAUAAGGAAGGCCAGCAUGAGGACCAGACCGCAGGCUCUGUCUGUCGCUCUUUGUCCACACCGCACUCAAAUUCCCUCGAUGUCGUUGCAGAUGUACAUCCCAAGUACCAGUGCGAUCUGGUGUCUAAAAACGGGAACGACAUCUACCGGUACCCCAGCCCGCUCCACGCUGUGGCUGUGCAGAGCCCCAUGUUCCUCCUCCCGGUGACUGAGAACCCCCAACGAGAAGAGGAGAGGCUCGGUGGCGAUAUUAGCGACGUUUGCACCCCGUCGGAAACGGACUCGGGGCAAUCCGCCAACACCUUCCUCCCGCAGAGCUCCUGGCCGGCGCCCUGCCCUUCCACCAGCAAGAGGAUAGACAGUUACAUCUUGAGCCUGGUCCAGAAAAAGACUCACGCGGUGAGGACUAACAAACCCAGGACGAGCCUCAACGCCGAUCCCACCAAAGGGAUCCUGAGGCACGGAAGCAUGUGUGUCAGGCAGCCGGCAGCCGUGGUGGCUCACGGCAACGUCGUGAGCCUGAAGAGCUCUAAGCAGGUGUGUUUGCCCCCCGGUGGCACCCCCGCUCUGGACCACACAGCACCCUCUCCCUUAAAGCAGAGGCCGAGGGAGCCAGCUGGCGAGCAGCUGGAGAGCAGGAAGGCACCUUUGCCGGCAGCUUUCCCACCCGGCACAACGACGGAACUUCAGAGCAAGCACCUGCCACGGGGUGUCAAACCGGCACCGCCGGAGCUCAACCGCGGCGUGGCGGCCACAGCAGGGGAUGUCCCCAAGGAGAACGGCCAGCUCUUCGCUGCGUCUCCCAAAGAGAGCCCAGGGAAGCCCGUGGUGCUGCAGCCAGAGAACAGGGUCAGCCAGCCUCCCAAAAAGAUCCUGCUGAAGAGCAGCAUGCAGGCAGCUCGCUCCUCGUCGCCGGCUGUCGAGGAGAGGCCCGCGCUGGAUUUCAAAAGCGAGGGCUCUUCCUCGCAGAGCCUGGACGACGGGCUGCUGGUGAACGCCCAGUACAUCCCUGCCCAGCAGCAAAGCAUGAAACUUCACAAAGGCACCCGAAACGUCAAGAUUUUGAAAAGCUCUGCGUUGAAACACAGGUCCCACCUCGCCAACGGGCUGGAAAACAGCUCGCAGACCUUGCGGGAGAAAACCAAACCUGUGGGCAAGAAGUGCCGCUUUCCCGAGGAGUUGGAUACAAAUAAGAAACUGAAAAAGCCCUCGUCCCGGGGGAAGAGAGGCGGCGGGCUGCCGCUGGAACCGGGCCCCCCCAACCGGCAGGGCGGCCUGCACAGAUCCGCCCUCCGCUCCCACGGGCACGGCCGAGAGGUCGUGGUGGCCAAGCCGAAACACAAGCGCGCCGACUACCGCCGGUGGAAGUCGUCGGCGGAGAUUUCCUACGAGGAGGCCCUGCGGAGGGCCAGGAGGAACCGGCGGGAGGGCGUGGGGGUCUACCCACAGGUGCCCCUGCCCUACGUCAGCCCCUACGCCUAUGUGGCCAGCGACUCGGAGUACUCGGCCGAGUGCGAGUCCUUGUUCCACUCCACCGUGGUGGACACGAGCGAGGACGAGCAGAGCAACUACACCACGAACUGCUUUGGAGACAGCGAGUCAAGCCUGAGCGAGGUGGAGUUCGUAGGGGAGAGCACGACCACCAGCGACUCUGAUGAGAGCGGGGGCCUGAUUUGGUCCCAGUUUGUCCAGACGCUCCCCAUCCAAACGGUCACGGCGCCGGAGCUGCAUGAAAAUGCGGCAAAGGCCUUUGUCAAAAUCAAAGCCUCCCAUAACCUCAAGAAGAAGAUCCUCCGCUUUCGGUCAGGCUCCCUGAAGCUCAUGACGACUGUCUAGUGAGGUGACUUGGUGGAAUGUAUCUGCUUCUGCUUUCGGAAGCAAGGUGCUUUUUUUGUUUUGUACAUAUUUCCACAGAAUUUUUUUUUUUUAAUACAAAUAUUUAAAACUUAAGGUAAAUUAUGUCACUUGUCUUCAGAGCUUGGGUGGAUACUAGUGCCUUUUACGUGGAAAUAAAAGACCGUUAUAAAAAAAAACCCCAACAUAACACUGCCAUUUCAGUGGUGAACGGCCUCCAGCGCGUGGUGUCAGAAGGCUUUGAAAAAAGGCUAUAAUGUUUCUGAGUAUGGAUCUCCCUUGCCUAGUUUUUCCAGUUCUGGGUCUUAUACAGGAUAUCGACAGCUUAAGGUCAUAAGUUUUUAGGGAAUAAGGGGGAGGGAGUGUGGGUGGUCUUCAUGCUUUUGCUUGUCCCUUUCUGCUGCUGCUGUUGCCAUGUCUUGAACUUCUUCCUCCUGGUACUCUGGCCUGUUUUUUUUUCCUUUUCUUGUUGAUUCUCUUCUUGAAACUCACCCCUGUCCUCCUCCAGCCUUCCUCCACCAGAAAAGGGCUCCUGUUCAAUCUAUCUGCCUUCUCUGUAGUGCACUCUGCUCCAAUCUCCCGGGAGUCCCGCUGCGGACAGCGGUGGUGUCCAGAGUAAACUGCUGGAGCAGCUGACCAAGGCUCAGUAACUUCAUUAUAUUGUGUAAAACUGCUUUUGAAAAAGAAAAAAAAAACCAUAUGCAUGUCACGUGCAUGAGUAUCAGUAGUUUUAAUAUUCCUGUUGAUGUCCAAUUUACUGUACAUCAUCAAUGGCUGUUUUUAUAUAUAUAUAUAUAUAUAUCAUUGUGUAAAUUAAUAUAACACAUCAUAUGCUGUAAUAAACAGUCUGUUUUAAUACUUUUUAAAGUUUGUUACGUUGGUGCAGACCCAGUCAAUGGUUUUGUAUUGGCAUUGUCACCACUUAGAUGUGUCUGAUGUGACCUGUUAACGUUCCCUGCAUUUAGCCAUGCAGGAAACAGAGCAAGUUUAAAGUGUUGCUGUGGAUGUGACUUGUGCUGUGAGGGCAUUGGAUGGUCAUGGCUCCUCUUUUUCUUCCCAUAACUUGCAUUUUUCUAAGGGCAAGGUAGGAUUUGGGAUCUCAGAGGCAUCUUCAGGUUGUUGCUGAUGGGCAGCUCACGUUGCAGAGCAGAUGGAAAUGUAAUAUUAAUCCUCCUCGCUGUCUGGGUGCUUCCAGACUUUGGUUGGUACAACACAGGGGCAGAUGGUUGGUUUCUGUAACCAAAUCGAUCCAUGUAACGCUACAGGUGUCCCUCUGAAACCUCCAGUAAAUGAAUCCCCAAGAGCUCUGUGCUCUGGGAGCUGGGCUGGGUGGAGGAGAGCACAGGUCUGUGGUGACCUCCUUAGCUGUGGCAGCUGACUCUGUCACAGCCUGGCAAGAUCAUGGAAAGAAGUGCACAAUUGUGUCACCCACUGGUCUCUGUCUCAGUUUAUUCCCAUAGGACCGGAGGUGAGUCUGCCAGCAAAGGAGAAAGGAACUAUCCAUAGGCUGCACUGCUUCCCUUCACAGCAACAGCUGUGCAGCUUCCUGGUGGGAAGGCUGGAGGUUUUUGGCAGGUUGAGCUGGUUUCUGCAGGUUCAUCUUCUGCUUUGGAAGUGUUGGACAUGCAGCUGGCGUUGAUGCUGUGACUGGUAUGGAUUUCAGGGAUUUGUGUGCAGCCUGUCCAUUCCAUGGCAAGAUUCUGCUGAGCAGAACCUUCCUUUGUGGUUCCUCUGUGUCCUUCCUGCUGUCACCCACCUGAAAGGCAGAGCAGCUUUUUUUCUCAGGUUCCCUUGAAUUGCAGAUGUAGGAUGGAGAGAUCCACCCAGAAUUAAACAUCUCUGGCAGCAGUUCCUGAGACAAUGGGAGCACUUUUUCCAAGGGGCAGAUUCUAUUUUUCAAUCUGCAGUGUAGUAAAUCCCUACCUAUAAAAUGUCUUAUACUACUUUUCCUUCUUUUUUUUUUUUUAAGUAGAGAGAUAUCAGUUUCUGUGAGUGUUUUAAAGUACAUCACAAGCCUGUGGAUUCAGUGACCCAGAAGGUCCUUGCACUUCCAUCUCCCAUGAUGCAGAAAAAGCUGUAACUCCCCUUAUCUGCUUAUAACUGUCCUAUUGCUUUACACAUGGAAGGGCAGCUUGUAUAUAUAUAUCUGUAUGUGUAAAAAAUUUAUAUAAUGGUAUGAAAUAAUUAAUCCAGAAAUUACUGGACAGUGGCUGCCCCCACAGAGAGGGGAAAGAAGUAAUGUUUGUUAUUAUAUAUGGCAUUACUAAGGCUAAGCAGCAGCUUAAUGCAUUCCCAUGAAUAACUGAUGGGUGUUAUAUCAAACAAAGGGAAUGUCUUGUGGAAGCUAGCAGUUCCUUUCCUAGAGUAUCUCUUAAUCAUGCCUCAUAAUCUCUCUUUGAGUGAGGAAAAACAUGUGCAAAUCCCUGUAAAUCUCCUCAAAGUUGUAGCAGAGUUGCAGAGAGGAUCCUCAGACAUGCACUCCGUCUCUCUGGCUGUAAAGGAACCACUGGUGGAGAGACAAAGCAACCAGUGGAUGAGGUUUUAAUUGCAGGGCUAUAGCAGAUUGCCUUGUUCCAGGUGAGGGAGGCUGCUUUUCAAAAGUGAGCUGCUGAAUGGUUUCUUUUCAGAUAAUCGAGUAAAAAAAAAUGAAAUAACCACCUAAAUAUCGCUAAGACUGUAUCAGCUGCAGCCACUGUAUUCUGCAGUUCUCUUGCUGAAUAGCUUGAUACCAGACUGGGAAAUGGGCUGAUGGUAUCUCUGUCUUAAUUGCAUCUGAGUCUUUUCAGUUUGGGAAAGGAAUUUUCCCUUUUUUUACAGGAUUUAGGUAAGCAUCCAGAAUCCUUUAGACAGGCCUAGGUUUUUCUAUCUACACCCAACCCCCUCCAUAUUUCUUUUUUAUUAACAGAUCUUAACAGUGCUGGAAAAGUACUUGAUAUGGUCCCAAUACACAACACACAUUCUCGUCUCUGGUUCUGAUUUAGGAAACACAUCUGAGUUAGUAAGUUUGGCUGAAAAACAUCUGCUGAUCUUGGAGACUAGUUGAAUAUCUGGCACUUCUUUAAGCUACCUGGCUUUCCAGCUUCACAGCCUGGAGUCCUUGCCCGUGUAUUUUUCAUAAUGUUCACAUUUUAGUCAUCCCCAGUGUUUAUGGUUGCCUUUGGAAGUCUGAAGCAGGAACAUUUCGUUGCACUGGGACCUGUUUCCAGGUGGGGGUAGGUUGUGGUGGGGAAGUUUGGGAUUAGGUAUCCCUUUGCUCUGUAUGUAACUGAGUGCAGGAAAGCACAGACACAUAAAGGAACACGAGCAGACCCCUUUAGGUGGAUUCCUUGUGAUUCAGGAAACACAGUGUUUCUGCACACCUGGAGCAGGAAUCAGCAUCACACUCUGAGGGGAUGAGUGUGUCACUGGGCUGUCUGCCUUCCAGCAGGCUUUUUGGGUCUGUCUUCUGCCCCCCAGCCCCAGCCACCAGCUGUGGGUCAGCAAAUAAAGAAUCAAGCUGUGCCUGGUGUGUGCAGGGUCAGGGAGAGGCCCUGGCGUCAUGCCGAGACGUCCCAACUGCGUGGGGCCCCUGCUGUGGACCUCAUGCUUGUCAUGAGAAAUCCAAUGUGCCUGUGCUGCAAGGGCUCAGACAGCUGGGUCUGAAGGAAGGGGGGAAUGGAGAGUCCCAUAAAUAGAGUGGCCUGAUCCUGCUUCAGCUGUAUUUCUAAGAGAGGCUGGAAGAAGAGGUGUUUCGGCCUCGUGUUUCAGCUCAGUAAGUUGGACUGGACAAAAGAGAGUCCUCUGAGAGACUCUGCCUCCUUUUUUCCAGAACCCUCUAAAUGAUCAAGGCCACUGUCAGCACUGCCAGUUGCUCAGGUGCUUAAAGCAUCUGACCAAGUCCUGCAAGAACUGGGGACAAGUGAUGAGCUUCAGUCCCCCAGGUCUGUUUUUGGCCUUCCAUGGCACAGCCCCUGUUUGCAGAGAGCCUUUAAGUCCCAGCCCUCUGCAGCUUUUCCUGUCCUGGGGCUUCAGAGGGAAUCUAUCCAUCCCUUACAAGUUUUCUAGUUUCUUUAUGGCUUGGGGUUUGUGCUGGAUAAGGACUGAAAACAGAUACUCCAUGACAGUCCUGUGCCUUCAGUAAUCCCAAAUCUGCUUGUUGGCUCAGAGGAAGGUCAGGUGGCAGCUCAAGUGGUGCUCCUCAGGUGGCAGCCAGCAAAGCCAUCCCUCAGGGACCUGCAUCCCUUUCUGUCACAAAGGGCAGCAAAGGCUUGGGUUGGCUGUGGUCACCACUUGGCAGAUGAUUCACCACAGCGGGCACGGCUCUCCCUCAGCAUGUGAUUUUUCUCACAGGAGGGAACAAGGACGUGAACAUUUUUGAGGAAGCAGAAACAGCUAAGUGCAUUUUUAAUAGCUAACUUCAGUGUCUAGUAUGUACCUUUGGAGCAGCCAACAAAAAUACACAGAACUGAGCUGCUGGUACGAAAAACUGAGCCGUUCUCAGCUCUUUGCAAUGUCCUGUCCGUGGUAGGAGGGGACACAGAAACCAAUGGAGACAAAUCACAAACCCCAGGUGUCUUCUCAGUGGUUUGUAUGGAACAACAAACACAUUGAGGUAACACAUCACUGUCUUCAGCACCGCGGGACACCCUGAAACAGCUCUGUAUCUGCACCAUCCACAGCUACCCCAAGAUGUUUUUCUGACAGGGAUAUCAGAACUGAGAGGUUUGGAUCUGACUGGUCCCACCCGCAGCCCAUCAGUGCUUAGGGUGAAGAUGCUCCUGCAGGGAGAGGAGGAAGCACACUCAGAAGUGUUUAUUAUUGCUGUUGAAUGACAAGCUCCCUUUCUUUCCCUUCCCCUUCCCUGCCAUGGAGAUAGGGAUCUCUGCUGUGGUCCCUGCUGCUUUCUUUUUCCUGUGUUGAUCUAUGGUAAGACUUACUGCCUUUGAAGGAUGGUCUUAGCCCUGAGAGAGGCUUUUGUUGCUGAACUACUGACAUUUGAUUCAGAGUAUGUUUUCCUCUGGGCCCAUUGCAGAUGCCCACCAUCUCCCUGGGUAGGUUGCUUGGGCUCAUGAACAUGGUAAUGUGGGUGCUCUGAGCCUUCCUCUCUUCCCUCAUCUUUGCCACUAAACCAAGAUUUUCUUACUCUCAUCCUUUGUCCUGUUGACUCUCAUCUGAAGUCAUCUGACUGUGGGGGUGUUCCUCAUGACUUCAGAGUACAGCACUUAUGUCUUUGGCCUAAGUAAAAUUUGUGGAUCCAUCACAAAAAUAUGA